rnacentral:rRNA from 1 species
UACGUAGGGUGCGAGCGUUAAUCGGAAUUACUGGGCGUAAAGCGCGCGCAGGCGGUUUUGUAAGCCAGAUGUGAAAUCCCCGGGCUUAACCUGGGAAUGGCAUUUGGGACUGCAAGGCUUGAGUGUGGCAGAGGAGACUGGAAUUCCUGGUGUAGCAGUGAAAUGCGUAGAUAUCAGGAGGAACACCGAUGGCGAAGGCAGGUCUCUGGGCUAACACUGACGCUCAUGCACGAAAGCGUGGGGAGCAAACAGG